GACAGACGAGAAGCCAUUCCCGACCAAUCAGAGGCCAUCUUCAACCGAUCGGGAACAGUCUCCAAUUGGUUAGAGGUGGUCUCUGACUGGCCAAGGGUACCGUGCAACCUUCGGA
rnacentral:precursor_RNA from 13 species